rnacentral:rRNA from 1 species
AGAGUUUGAUCCUGGCUCAGGAUGAACGCUAGCUACAGGCUUAACACAUGCAAGUCGAGGGGCAGCAUGGUCUUAGCUUGCUAAGGCCGAUGGCGACCGGCGCACGGGUGAGUAACACGUAUCCAACCUGCCGUCUACUCGUUGGACAGCCUUCNGAAAGGAAGAUUAAUACAAGAUGGCAUCAUGAGUCCGCAUGUUCACAUGAUUAAGGUAUUCCGGUAGACGAUGGGGAUGCGUUCCAUUAGAUAGGUAGGCGGGGUAACAGCCCACCUAGUCUUCGAUGGAUAGGGGUUCUGAGAGGAAGGUCCCCCACAUUGGAACUGAGACACGGUCCAAACUCCUACGGGAGGCAGCA